rnacentral:rRNA from 2 species
AUGUCAAAACGACUCUCGGCAACGGAUAUCUCGGCUCUCGCAUCGAUGAAGAACGUAGCGAAAUGCGAUACUUGGUGUGAAUUGCAGAAUCCCGUGAACCAUCGAGUCUUUGAACGCAAGUUGCGCCCGAAGCCUUCGGGCCGAGGGCACGCCUGCCUGGGCGUCACGCAUCGCGUCGC